ensembl:lncRNA
UUUACUAGAUAUAUCCAGAUCUGUAUACACUGAAUGUUGUUUUAAUAUUUUUUAAUCAUUUGUAACUGAUACAGAUUGAAACAAUGAUAAAUAUAGAAAAUAAGAAAGUGUAGUCUGUGUGCAUGUAUGCAUUUGUGUAUGUGUAUUGUGUAUGUGUACCGUGAAUGUGUAUCUGUGUGUUUUGUGUAAAUCUGUAUGUGUGUGUACACAUUUGUGUUUGUGUAUCUGUGUGUGCACGUUUUGAGUACAUGUAUCUGAGUGUGUAUAUGUACAUAUUUGUGUGUGUGUGUGUGUGUGUGUUGCUGGGGGCUGAGCCCAGGGCCUCCUACAUGCUGAGCAAGUUUUGUACUUCAAAGCUGGAUCUCCAGCCAUCAUUUUACUGGUUUUUUUUGAGAUAAGGUCACAGUAAGUUGCCCUGCCUACCUUUAAAUUCACUGUGUAGCAAGUUGGCCUUGAAUCUUUGAUCCACUUGCCUUGACCUCCUGAAUAAGUAAAAUACAGCCCUACGAGCCUAGCAGUAUCUCUGAUGGGGAAAACAUGAAUAUCAUGAUGAAGAUGCAAAUCUGUCAAGACAGGAAUAUUUGUCAAGGAGAAUUGCCCUGAUUUGUGACUGAAACUGAAACAAUUUCAAAGGAUCGACUUGGUUUUGGCUCACAGUUUCAGAGGCAUCAGUCUAUGGUCAGCUCAGCCAUUUCUAGUGCCAUGCUAAAGCAGAGCAUCAUCCCAUGGUAGAGCUGCUCACAUCAGGACAGCUAGGAAGGAGAGGGAGAAGAAAGGAAGGAGGGAGGAAGAGAAAGACAGAAGACAAGGUCGGAGUCCUCAGGAGCAAAUCACUUGUCAAUGAUUGGAUUUACCAGAUAAGGACCAAGCUGCUAACAUCGCCUUUGGAGAUAUACUUUAUAUACAAGCCAUAACUGUUUCUAUGCAACUGUCUCUAUUGUAACUAUGUGUUCUCAUAUUGGGCAAAGUGGGGACUAUAGAAGGACUGAUUGAGGUUGCUUAUUUCCUGGCCUGCUAAUUAUUCUUCUGCAAGAGGGCUUCCUUUUAUGCACCAACCAUCCUGUGGCAGGGGCUGAAGGCAAGUAGGCUUGACUUUGAGACGGGACUCCAGCCAACAAAAGACUUAGCCCCAGCAGGGCCACUGAGACAGACAUCUAUCCCUACAUGGAUGCCAGAGUCUGUCAUGAGGUGGGUUGGGUUAUGAGUGUGGUGGGAGGAAAAACAGGUAUGAUUCACCUGUCCUAUUUCCUGCCCAAGGGCCUCUGGGCUACACCCACAACAAGCUUGUAUGCUGACUCCCCAGAGCUGCUUGUAGCCACUCUUAGCAUAUUUCCCACACAGGCUCAGAUUGACCCAAGUUCAGAGCUAGUGGAAAACAUCAUUGACUCCUGCUUAACAGGGUAGGAGACAAAAAGUAAUCGGGAUAUUUUUAUCUGCCCCAUGUGAUUAAGAAUAGUCUUCAUCCGCAGUGAUGUUUUGUAAACAGUUUAGUCAUAAGCACCUCACUAGGCAUGUCUGCCAGGGCAAAAUUUAUGGUCUGCCUAUGAUCGGUUUUGCUGUGUUACUUCGGCUGAACCAAGAUUUAUGUGGUGUUGUCUUCAUGCCAAUCGCCAAACUAGGCGCUGGGCAAAAUUUAGGAAGGAGACUCUGGCUAUGAGUUUUUAAUGGACUGCUUUCAGCUGUGUGAGGAAAUUGUGUAUGUGAAGAACAGCUACAGAAACAAAUCAGAGAAGCAGACAAGGAGCCGGGGUCAUUCAUUUAGCUAGCGGAGAGUGCCUCUCUCUUACCUAAGCAAUCAUCCCAGUGAACCUCAAGCUGAUUACUGUCUGUUCCACAAUGAAAUGUUGAUGCUGGGUACAAGUGAUCGAAGGACCCUGGACUACAGGAAGGAUGAACUGUGCUGCAUGCUGCGUUCUUGUACCCUCCCCCAGCCUCUAGGCCAGUGAUUGCACCUUGGCUGUCCAGCACCAACACUAGGACAGCUCUUAACAAUAUUGUUGCCCGAAUCCACUGGAGCCCAGUGCCACUCCAAAAGAAAAACAAUGAGGAGCGAGCUACCCCCCUUAUAAUUGUUGAGCUGCAGACAGAACCAUUUGUCUAGCACUGCAGCCCCUCUGCUAUGAAAUGGUAUGUGUUUGGAGCAGAGCAGUGGCCAGUAUUCAUCUCUGCUGGGAAGCAGUGAGGCUGCAGUGUGGCUAAGGCUUUUUUUUCCAGCUUUGAGUCCAGCUUUGAAAUCACUGCUGUUUUAAAGUUGUACUGCAUUAUUGCCUUUUGCAGAACAAAUAGCCCCAGUUCAGAUUCUCCCAUUUGUCUACGAUAGAAGCAGCUUCCUUUGGUACCUGGGGGAAAGUUUGGCUGUUUGGCCCUGGCAAAGGAAUAAGAAAGGUUGUUCUCGGUAGAUAAAUGCACUCUAGGUCACUCAGUUCUUGUACUUUACAUUUUUGCCAAAAUAUGGGUCUAGAGUUAAGGUUAAAAUAUAAAUGAGUUAGAUAAGCUGCAUUAUCAAAAUAAUUACAGUGAGUAAAAAAACAGAUGGAUAGAUAGGUGAAUGACCAAGUAAUAACUUAGACCCCUGUAGUUGCCCCAUUGGCUCUGUAAUGCCAAACUGAUGCAAGGUGCAGCCUAGUAUACAAGUGACAGGGUCAAAGACGCUAACACCAAGGUUCCAGGGAAAAGGCAAGAAGGCCAGACAGUGAGGGGUAGCAUUGGAGUCACUGAAAGAGACCCGGAGGGGCUGAAUUGUAAAGUGGUGAUGGCGAAAUCUAAGUUUCAGUAGAGACCCCAGGAUUGAGGAAAGCUACAGGCCCUGAGUGGAACUGGUCCCACAGAAAGGCCACAUGUGACACAAAUGACUGACAUAUGGAAGCAGGUUACACAAAUGUUGUAGAGCCAAUGACGCCACUAUGUUUGCCAGAUGCUGGAUGAGGAGUUAAAGGUUUGGUGUUCGCCUUGCUGAGUUUCAGCCUUGCUUUGGCACAGUUUUUCCUUCCUGUUUUUCUCUUCCUUCCUUUGGGAGUGAGAGUGUGUAUGUCACUAUGAAUUGGAAGCUUGUAACUUAAAAAGGAUUUCACAGGGGUUCACAGUGAAAAGGCUGAAUUAAAACUUUGGUCUCUUGAUCAAUGUUGGGACUGUUAAAAUUUUAGGGCUCUUAAAUUGGAACUGAAUGUAUUUUCUUUAUGAGGAACCUGUGAGACUAUGAAGGCCACAGGUAGAAUGUUAUGGUUGGAGUGUAAAGUAUCUCCCAUGGGCUCAUGUGUCUGAACAUUUGGUUCCCAGCUAAUGACCCUGCUUGAGAAGGUUACGAAACCUUUAGGACAUGGUACACAACUGAUAGAUGUUGAUAUCAGUAGUGUUCCUUGGGGAUUUUAGUGAUGCCCAAGGACUCUUCUUCCUGAUCAGUGCUAUGUGAGAAGCCACCACUGCAAGUUUCCACCAUGCAAAUUCCCACCACUGCAGGCUCCCACCACUGCAAGCUCUCACCAUAUAAACUCCCU